rnacentral:miRNA from 10 species
AUUACCAGGAGUGCAUUUUACA